GUGGGAUGUAAUCAUCUUGUUAUUAACUUCGAUAAUGUGGAAGCCGCUGACACAAUGAAGAACGGAGGACAAUCUGUGGGAGCGGCACCUGUAGUAUCUGAUGAUUGCUAUAUUUUGGCAUGUGAUUUUCCUCUUACUAGGUUCCAACAUUGUAAUAGGGAAGCAAAUAAGGUGGCUCAUGAACUUGCUAGGUUAGCGAAAUUUUUCGUGACAACGGAUAGUUUUGUGGAGACCAUGGAUGAAAUUGUACCUUUUCUUAUUGACAAUGUAAGUGUUAUUUCCAAUUCAUAA
rnacentral:rRNA from 1 species